rnacentral:tRNA from 1 species
GCCGGGGUCGCCUAGCCUGGUAGGGCGCAAGCCUGGAAAGCUUGUGACCGCAAGGUCUCGAGGGUUCGAAUCCCUCUCCCGGCG